AUUGGACGCUGGCGGAAUGCUUUACACAUGCAAGUCGAACGGCAGCACGGGGGCAACCCUGGUGGCGAGUGGCGAACGGGUGAGUAAUACAUCGGAACGUGCCCGGUCGUGGGGGAUAACGUAGCGAAAGUUACGCUAAUACCGCAUACGAUCUGAGGAUGAAAGCGGGGGACCUUCGGGCCUCGCGCGAUCGGAGCGGCCGAUGUCGGAUUAGGUAGUUGGUGGGGUAAAGGCCUACCAAGCCGACGAUCUGUAGCUGGUCUGAGAGGACGACCAGCCACACUGGGACUGAGACACGGCCCAGACUCCUACGGGAGGCAGCAGUGGGGAAUUUUGGACAAUGGGCGCAAGCCUGAUCCAGCCAUGCCGCGUGCAGGACGAAGGCCUUCGGGUUGUAAACUGCUUUUGUAUGGAACGAAAAGGCUCUGGCUAAUACCUGGGGCUCAUGACGGUACCGUAAGAAUAAGCACCGGCUAACUACGCG
rnacentral:rRNA from 1 species